CUACGGCUUCCACUAGAUGUCAACGAUCUUUAUAAAGUUGUUUGAAGCGUCUAUGAUAAACAGAGAGCAAAUUAGAAUCCAAGGAAGUUGACAUGUCAUCACUUCAUUUUUUUUGCGCCUGCGCAUAAAUCUGAGAAACGUGAGUUUUGUCUUCAUUGUUUAUCUAGACAUAAGGAUAGGUUGUGUGAAAAUAUUACUGAUGUUUAACGUUAAAAAUGGACCAAAAGAUUAAUGCUAAACAACAUUUGACAUGUUUGAACGAACAUAAAUAGAUUAUUUACUAGGUUUUUUUAGCUUUUCGGCGUGAUUUUACAGUCCCCCCACCACGUUUUGUGGGAGCAUAAUGAACGCUAAGUACUUGGUGUUAUUUGGACAUAAAUUAUGAACUUUGUCAAAAGAAACCACAUUUGUUCCGGACCUGGGAUGCCUUCCGGACCUGGGAUGCCUGCCUUCUGAUGGAGAUAAUCAAAGGCAGAGCAGGCAACAGAUGGCACACAGACAGCAGAGUUGGGGACAGAUAUGCAGGGACAGACUGGCAGAGACAGGGAGUCUCAGCCAAGACAAUGCAGGAGUGGCUUCGGGACAAGUCUCUGAAUGUCCUUGAGUGGCCCAGCCAGAGCCUGGACAUGAACCCAUUCAAACAUCUCUAGAGAGACCUGAAAAUAGCUGUGCAGUGACACUCCCCAUCCAACCUGACAGAGCUUGAGAGGAUCUGCAGAGAAGAAUGGGAUAAACUCUCCAAAUACAGGUGUGCCAAGUUAUACCCAAGAAGACUCGAGGCUGUAAUCGCUGCCAGAGGUCCUUCAACAAAGUACUGAGUAAAGGGUCUGAAUGUUUAUGUAAAUGUGAUAUUUCAGUAUAUAUUUUUGUUGUUGUUGCAGAAAUGUCUAAAAACCUGUUUUUGCUUUGUCAUUAUGGGAUAUUGUGUGUAGAUUGAUAAGGGGAAAAACGAUUUAAUCAAUUUUAGAAUAAGGCUGUAAAGUAACAAAAUGUGGAAAAAGUCAAGUGGUCUGAAUACUUUCUGAAUGCACUGUAUGUUAGCUUUCAGUCAACUCAACAGUUAAGUUGAGGCAUUCAUUCCGAGUGGUUAAGGAAAGGGUUAAGGUUUGGAUAGGGUUAAAAUAAAAUGCAAAACGA
rnacentral:lncRNA from 1 species